rnacentral:sRNA from 1 species
AGCAAUGGAAAGGCUUAUAUGGGCGGUCGGCUAAGCUCCCUGAAGGGAGGUGAGGCCAUGGAGGUCUAUCAGGCGUUGUCCCUGAUGUUCAUGUUCGGCAUGUUCAUCAUAGCACUGCUUAACUACCUCAAAAAGAAAUAGACCGCCCUGUCCAAAGGAAACGGUCUAUCUCUUGACUAUUUUUCCGAAAGCCACCGCCCUUAAAAGCGGCUGUUGCACCGGGGAACCGUGUUAGCGCACGGUUC